GACGGGGGGGGCAAGUGUUCUUCGGAAUGACUGGGCGUAAAGGGCGCGUAGGCGGUGAAUCGGGUUGAAAGUGAAAGUCGCCAAAAAGUGGCGGAAUGCUCUCGAAACCAAUUCACUUGAGUGAGACAGAGGAGAGUGGAAUUUCGUGUGUAGGGGUGAAAUCCGUAAAUAUACGAAGGAACGCCAAAAGCGAAGGCAGCUCUCUGGGUCCCUACCGACGCUGGGGUGCGAAAGCAUGGGGAGCGAACAGG
rnacentral:rRNA from 1 species